GACGAACGCUGGCGGCGUGCUUAACACAUGCAAGUCGAACGAUGAACCACUUCGGUGGGGAUUAGUGGCGAACGGGUGAGUAACACGUGGGCAAUCUGCCCUGCACUCUGGGACAAGCCCUGGAAACGGGGUCUAAUACCGGAUACGAGCCUCCUCCGCAUGGUGGGGGUUGGAAAGCUCCGGCGGUGCAGGAUGAGCCCGCGGCCUAUCAGCUUGUUGGUGAGGUAACGGCUCACCAAGGCGACGACGGGUAGCCGGCCUGAGAGGGCGACCGGCCACACUGGGACUGAGACACAGCCCAGACUCCUACGGGAGGCAGCAGUGGGGAAUAUUGCACAAUGGGCGAAAGCCUGAUGCAGCGACGCUGCGUGAGGGAUGAAGGCCUUCGGGUUGUAAACCUCUUUCAGCAGGGAAGAAGCGAAAGUGACGGUACCUGCAGAAGAAGCGCCGGCUAACUACGUGCCAGCAGCCGCGGUAAAAC
rnacentral:rRNA from 1 species